rnacentral:lncRNA from 1 species
AUAGUCAUUAUGUAAAAUGAUAUAUUUGUCAUUCAAUAACUCACAAUAGAAUGAGGUCAAGUGAGUAAAUUGGAGAUCUCAAUAAUUGCACUUUUUGGAGAGCUUGUACAACUUUUUGUCAAUACUCCAUUUUAACUUUUACCAAUCUCGCUCUUAAAUGUAGAGAGUGAAAUGAGGUUUUCUAUAAUUGAAAACAAUUUCAGUCUAAUUAAAAUAGAGAGAACCGAUACGCACGUAAAUUUAAGGUGGCUAGCCAGAGUGACUUAUACUAUUUUGUCUAAAAAUUGACUAAACUGGGGUAGCAUUGCUAGCUAAAGGUUUUUAUUUUUUAUUUUUUAUUUUUUUUAAGAAAUGUAAAACUUAAUUUAUAUAAUAACAACCAACCAUUACAACCAUGAGAGAUCUCGGUGGUGAACAACAAGUCCCCACACUCUUCUCUACCACAUACCAGCGAUUACAAUGAACAUGAAUCGAAAAUAGUCAAAAUGUAACCUUCUUCUAAUCCCAUUCAGAAGCCUCGAUACCUCCUUACAACCAACCUUAAGAAGAAACAACCCCACCAAACACUAUAUAUACACCAAAAUCGCCAGCAUAUAUGCAAGGGCAACCUCCCCAUUACAUUGACAACAAGAAAACACCAACGUUAAUACAGGUAGUCCAUGAAAAUGACACCAAACAUGACCUUACAAAAAUCACCAACCAAAACCCUAACGCCCUUGCUUGAAGGGAGGGACACCCUCGCCAAAAGGAAGGGACGACAGACAACAAGAACAAAAACAAAACUAACAAAACCAAGAAAAUAAAACCUAAACUAAACAACCAGAAAAAUCCAAAAAGGCCUACGUUGGCCGAGAGAUCGACGCAGGCCCAACAAACCAAAAUGGAAUGCCGCCUACCACCGAAACCGGUCGUCGCCCGCCCGCCACAGAAAUAGGUCGUCGCUUGGAGCUCCACCAAUCUCGUCAUCAAGGCAGAGAAAAGCAGCAGCACGCCCUUCCUCAUAGAUUUGAACCAAACCGUAGCAACAAGGCCUAACCAAGAUCAGAUCGAUCUGGCCAAACCUGCAUCAUCACGCCUCCUAUCGAUACAAACCACCGCCAACCCCGCACAGCCGCUUCCCUUGACAACACACCUCCAUGCCGGAUUACAUUGCUCCUCCCCCAAGCUUGUCCGGCAACAAACCCAGCUACAUUGACUAGGUCGGAAACCAAUGUCGGCGUAGGGGCGUCGCCAGACAAGCAAUAGGCUUCGAACUUGCUCUCUCUUUUUUCUUCCUAUUUUUACGGAGGUAACCCUAGAAGCGACUAAUUAUCAAACGCUAUUCUAUAACCCCCAUAAAUCUUAUUUUAGAGUUUCUAAUUGAUAAAAGCUUGUACUUUGUAAUAUCGAUAACAUAAGUAUUAAUUACGCAAAUAGUGCUUACGUUUGUUAUUUUCAAAACAUAAACGCACCGCACAAUUGCCCUUGCUUUUUUAUCGGAUUGAGGAAAAUAAAAACCAGAUUUUUUUUAAAAUUUUAAAGGCAUAAUUGGAACAUUAAAGGUAAAAAAUAAAGCGUGGAGUGAACUAAGCAUUUAGUAGGAUGGAAAUAGCCGCACCCAUAAGGUAUAUAAAGAUGAAAAGGGGAGUUACCCCCAAUUUGCUUCUCAGUUUGAAACUAUUAUAGCAUCUUCAACAACUUCCCUAAUUUUUUUUCCUUCUAAUUGGAGCAAGUGGGGAAUUUAUGAUAAUAUUAAUUUCGAUAAUUUGGGGAAGGAAAGUUUUGCUGUAAAUUUGAGGAAGAAGUGCUGUCACACCCCGAUCCCGAUGUCGACGAGUUUUAAGCACCGAACGUCGAUCACGAGCCGUGAACGAGUGUUACAAAGCGGAAUAAAAUAAAAAUACUAUCUUCUAGACUCGUCGGCUACCCUUUCCUGGCUCGGUACAAUCUAAGUACUUCUCUGUAAAAAAAUAUUGAAGAUGGGUGGGUGAGCAUAACCACGCGCUUAGUGAGUAGACUAAUGUAAUAUGCCCGCAAAGCCAUGUCAUUUUACACACGCUACAAAAUAGGUAUAUCGUAUACACAUCACUUUUACGCAAUUCAUCACAUCGCACAAUCCCUUCUUAUUGGAUACCCUUCAAUUUAGUGAUCCCCACGGGAACCUAAUAACCUUCAUGUCCUAUACCUCUAUGUGUCACAUCCUUACUUCGGCAUAACCAAUCAAGAAGUUCAUAUGUUCCAUGACUAGUCAAACAAUAGAUCCAACACAUAGUUAUAUAUAAACACCGCACAAUUCGCAAUAUCGACAUGCUUUACUCGAAAACGUAGAGAUAUUUCGUAAAUAGACAAAAUCAUGUUUUUUGACUAAUUUGAUAGCAAAUAAGAAUAUUUGAAACAUAUUACAUAAAUCUACUCACCUCGUUAAUAUGAAUCCCCACCAACAACAUCGAUCGUAAACCGAGCCUCCUAAAACAAGCCAUCUAGAAAUCAUCAUUGGAUCUAGCUCAAACUUCUAGGAAAGGAAGAGGUCAUUGAGACGAACCCGUAGCACUUCGCGGAUUCAGAAUCAGAGUUACGGAUCAAAAAUUAUGAUCCGCUAAAAUUUUAGUCGUAAAAGUAAUUCUAGAGCGAGAAAAAC